GACGCAAUCGGGGUGGGCUGCAGAUUUUUUUUCUUCUUUGAGGAUGGCUGAAUCUUUCUUCUCUUUUUUUUUCUAAGCAAUGGCAAUGGAGGCUAGGGUUCUUUGUGGUGGAAGGAAGAAGAAAGAGGAUGGGUUGGAAAAAUUGAUUUGAAUUGGCAGCAAUUGGCUCCAAAGAAAGGUUGGCGUUGGGCGGUUUUAGAUUGCAAUUGGAUUCGUUGAGAGGAAUCAAUUCAAACCGAUUGGAUUGAUCAAUAUAAGGUCUGAUGGCUUGAGAGUUUUUUUGAGUAUUAGAUGGAUUCUGAAAGGGAUGAAGUAUUAAAGAGGAUGGAAGAAACUUUACUUGAAUUUAAUCAGGAUUUCUAAUAGGUUGGUGAUGGAAGAACUAGGGCACAAUC
rnacentral:lncRNA from 1 species